rnacentral:rRNA from 1 species
GAACGCUGGCGGCGUGCUUAACACAUGCAAGUCGAACGGAAAGGCCCUGCUUUUGUGGGGUGCUCGAGUGGCGAACGGGUGAGUAACACGUGAGUAACCUGCCCUUGACUUUGGGGUAACUUCAGGAAACUGGGGCUAAUACCUGAUAGGAGCUCCUGCUGCAUGGGUGGGGGUUGGAAAGUUUCGGCGGUUGGGGAUGGACUCGCGGCUUAUCAGCUUGUUGGGUGGGGUAGUGGCUUACCAAGGUCUGGUACGGGUAGGCCGGCCUGAGGAGGGUGACCGGCCACAGUUGGGACUGAGAUACCGGCCCAGACUCCGUACGGGAGGCAGC